CGUAGGUGGCAAGCGUUGUCCGGAUUUAUUGGGUUUAAAGGGUGCGUAGGCGGCCUUAUAAGUCAGUGCUGAAAUAUCCCGGCUUAACCGGGAGGGUGGCAUUGAUACUGCAAGGCUUGAGUGUAGUCGAGGUAGGCGGAAUUGACGGUGUAGCGGUGAAAUGCUUAGAUAUCGUCAGGAACACCGAUAGUGUAGACAGCUUACUAGGCUACAACUGACGCUGAGGCACGAAAGUGUGGGGAUCAAACAGGAUUAGAUACCCUGGUAGUCCACACUGUAAACGUUGAUUACUCGAUGUUGGCGAUACACAGUCAGCGUCUUAGCGCAAGCGAUAAGUAAUCCACCUGGGGAGUACGCCGGCAACGGUG
rnacentral:rRNA from 1 species